rnacentral:rRNA from 1 species
GACGAACGCUGGCGGCGUGCUUAACACAUGCAAGUCGAACGGAAAGGCCCCUUUGGGGGUACUCGAGUGGCGAACGGGUGAGUAACACGUGAGUAACCUGCCCUUGACUUCGGGAUAACUUCAGGAAACUGGGGCUAAUACCGGAUAGGAAUCCUUGCUGCAUGGUGGGGGUUGGAAAGCUUCGGCGGUUUUGGAUGGACUCGCGGCUUAUCAGCUUGUUGGUGGGGUAGUGGCUUACCAAGGCUUUGACGGGUAGCCGGCCUGAGAGGGCGACCGGCCACAUUGGGACUGAGAUACGGCCCAGACUCCUACGGGAGGCAGCAGUGGGGAAUAUUGCACAAUGGGCGGAAGCCUGAUGCAGCAACGCCGCGUGCGGGAUGACGGCCUUCGGGUUGUAAACCGCUUUCAGCAGGGGCGAAGCUUGUGGUGACGGUACCUGCAGAAGAAGCACCGGCUACCUCCGU